AUACGUAGGGGGCGAGCGUUGUCCGGAAUGACUGGGCGUAAAGGGCGUGUAGGCGGUUGAAUAAGUCUGGAGUGAAAGUCCCGGUUUCAAGUUGGGAACUGCUUUGGAUACUGUUCAACUUGAGUGCGGAAGAGGUAAGUGGAAUUCCCAGUGUAGCGGUGAAAUGCGUAGAGAUUGGGAGGAACACCAGUGGCGAAGGCGACUUACUGGGCCGUAACUGACGCUGAGGCGCGAAAGCGUGGGGAGUGAACAGGAUUAGAUACCCUGGUAGUCCACGCGGUAAACGAUGAAUGCUAGGUGUUGCGGGUAUCGACCCCUGCAGUGCCGGAGUAAACACAAUAAGCAUUCCGCCUGGGGAGUACGGCCGCAAGGUUGAAACUCAAAUGAAUUGACGGGG
rnacentral:rRNA from 1 species